CCUACGGGAGGCAGCAGGGGGGAAUAUUGCACAAUGGGCGAAAGCCUGAUGCAGCGACGCCGCGUGAGGGAUGACGGCCUUCGGGUUGUAAACCUCUUUCAGCAGGGAAGAAGCGCAAGUGACGGUACCUGCAGAAGAAGCACCGGCUAACUACGUGCCAGCAGCCGCGGUAAUACGUAGGGUGCGAGCGUUGUCCGGAAUUAUUGGGCGUAAAGAGCUCGUAGGCGGUCUGUCGCGUCGGAUGUGAAAGCCCGGGGCUUAACCCCGGGUCUGCAUUCGAUACGGGCAGACUAGAGUGUGGUAGGGGAGAUCGGAAUUCCUGGUGUAGCGGUGAAAUGCGCAGAUAUCAGGAGGAACACCGGUGGCGAAGGCGGAUCUCUGGGCCAUUACUGACGCUGAGGAGCGAAAGCGUGGGGAGCGAACAGGAUUAGAUACCCUGGUAGUCCACGCCGUAAACGUUGGGAACUAGGUGUUGGCGACAUUCCACGUCGUCGGUGCCGCAGCUAACGCAUUAAGUUCCCCGCCUGGGGAGUACGGCCGCAAGGCUAAAACUCAAAGGAAUUGACGGCUGAGACGNGCGAGACGACACGAGGAGAG
rnacentral:rRNA from 1 species